CCUACGGGUGGCAGCAGUGGGGGAUAUUGCACAAUGGAGGAAACUCUGAUGCAGCGACGCCGCGUGAGGGAAGACGGUCUUCGGAUUGUAAACCUCUGUCUUUGGGGAAGAAAAUGACGGUACCCAAACAGGACGCUCCGGCUAACUACGUGCCAGCAGCCGCGGUAAUACGUAGGGAGCGAGCGGUGUCCGGAAUUACUGGGUGAAAAGGGAGCGUAGGCGGGCGGGAAAGUUGAAUGUUAAAUCUACCGGCUUAACUGGUAGCUGCGUUCAAAACUGCUGGUCUUGAGUGGAGUAGAGGCAGGCGGAAUGCCUAGUGUAGCGGUGAAAUGCGUAGAUAUUAGGAAGAACACCAAUGGCGAAGGCAGCCUGCUGGGCUUUAACUGACGCUGAGGCACGAAAGCGUGGGGAGCAAACAGGAUUAGAUACCCGGGUAGUC
rnacentral:rRNA from 1 species